CUAAAAGGCAAAUAAUCUCAUCGCUGAGACCCUCCACGUCAGAUAAAAUAAUCGUCCAAUAAGACAUGUUCUUUUCUCCACGUCGGACAUUGCUUGGGCUGGUAUUGGGCUGAUAUUUUUCAAUCUGUCAAAAUAUAAGAAACAUAUGGAUCAAGAGUCCAGAUCAAAGAGAACGGAGAAUGACGACAUCUCAUCACUUCGCUCUUGGAUAACCCUAAAACGGCCAGCCGACGAAUCUCUUCGACAUUCCAUCUCACCUCUGCGCAUGGCGACCAAGUGAUGUUCUUCAGAGAUGCUUCACUCCGUCCACGCGAAGCCAAGUUGAAGUUUCGUCUGAUUCACAUCGGGGAGGCUCGAAAUCCAAAGUCGAAGAUCCUUAUUGGACAAGAGAUUCUCCUUAUCGACGAAGAGGGAACGGUUAUUUAUCUACCGCCACCUCCGUGAGUGGUCGCUCUGGAGCUAUUUGCGUAGGAAAUCGCGCCUUUCCGUUUUGCUCAGCCUUUGAGUUCUCUCCUCUUCCUGUGUUAACGUGUUCCUCUUCUUGGUGUCUCUGUUUCUCAUAUCUGCUAUUGUUGAUUUUGUCUAGAAGCAGCAGGUCUAUUCUAAGUUGCUGCGUCCGAGUUUCAUUACGGUCCAAACCAUGUCAGAGUCUCAGACAGCUCUAAAGAAUCAGCCACAGUCCUCGGCCUCCUCUGG